GAUGAACGCUAGCGACAGGCUUAACACAUGCAAGUCGAGGGGCGGCGAGAAAGUGCUUGCACUUUUGUCGGCGACCGGCGCACGGGUGAGUAACACGUAUGCAACCUGCCCUUGUCAGGGGGAUAAGCGGGGGAAACCCCGUCUAAUACCGCAUAUAUGAUUUGGAGGCAUCUUUAAAUCAGGAAAGAAUUAUCGGACAAGGAUGGGCAUGCGGGACAUUAGGUAGUUGGGGGGUGUAACGGACCACCAAGCCGACGAUGUCUAGGGGUUCUGAGAGGAAGGUCCCCCACACUGGAACUGAGACACGGUCCAGACUCCUACGGGAGGCAGCAGUGAGGAAUAUUGGUCAAUGGAGGCAACUCUGAACCAGCCAAGUAGCGUGCAGGAUGACGGCCCUAUGGGUUGUAAACUGCUUUUAUGCGGGGAUAAAUGAUCCUACGUGUAGGAUUUUGCAGGUACCGCAUGAAUAAGGCCGGCUAAUUCCGUGCCAGCAGCCG
rnacentral:rRNA from 1 species